ensembl:lncRNA
GACUCUUUGAUCCCGUAUGUCUCCAUAUCUUGUUCAAAGAACAGAGAUGAUGAAAAGAAAUACAUUUACAAUACCAACAUCAUCAGUUUUAUAUGUAGAACUUUUCCACUCAUUGUUAUUCUCUUGUUCUUCUGUGUGACUUCAGCUCGAAACCCUGUCCAAUCUCACUCCAGAGCAGAUGGUUGGACUGAUUGUUAAUACUCAACCUGGUGUACCACAGAAUUUCAUCAUCAAUACAGUGUUUGAUCAUCUUCUCGUGUCUCCUGUGGAAAGAGGACUUCCAGAUGUUCUUGAGCUCCUGUAUAUUUUCUCCACAAUGAAUCCACUCAGCUGUCAAACCAACCAGAUAAUCUUCACGAGGCUGGAGCAGAUCUUGAGCUCAGGAGCGAGUGAUCUGGAGCCCGUCAUCUGGAAGAGCCUUUAUAACUUCAGCGGCACGGCUCCUGCAGACUGCACUCUUCUCCCAGUCGUGAAUGAGUGUCCCGUGACUCCAUUCAACGAGACUCGGGUGUGCAGUGGAGUGGACAGUUCUGCAGCACAGCAGUGCUUGAACGAAGGACGGAUUUGUGGCUUCAGUAUUGCAGCACAUGCAUGCGCCCCGGUGCUGAAUGUGAGCGUGGACUAUCUGGUCACACUACUGAAUUCUCAUCUGUCUGUGGAUGACAUGAGCUCAGCUGAGAGCUGGAAACUCUUCCUGACCAGAGUCUCACACCUGCUGGACAUCGCCCUCAUCCAGCUCUCCAACCAGUCGGUGUGGUGGAGCAGCAGCUCUGCCUCUGUGGUUCUGGACGUCCUGCGGGAGCUGCGGCUGGACAGACUCACGGAUGAGAGCACCGCUGCGCUGUGGCUCGAUGAACACCUGCGAGCGUUCCUGCCGAACGCGUCCGGGACGUUCCUGCAGUGUCUGCGCUGCCAGAACCUCAGCUGCCAGAGCUUCCAGAGAGUGGUUGGAGCGUUCGAUGCAGGAUUUUCCCGUAUGAAUGACGUUCAGCGCCGAACAGCCGUGUCACACUUCAUCGUCCCGUUCCUCUGGAGAGCAGGUGCGACGUGUGUGUCCAACGACAGCUCUCAGUGGCUCAUCAGUAACUUUGGCCAGUUCUCUGCCCUCGUUCCUCUGAAUCAGCUGAUCUCGCUCAACCCACAGUUCAACCCGAUGAGCAGCCUGCUCUAUCUCUCUCCAGAGCAGCUGGUCGGGCUGAUGUUUGAUGAUGUUCCUGGUCUUCCAGAGAAAAGUGUGGUCAUCAGUGCAGUGUUCGAUCACCUGACCGCGUCUCCACAGAGAGAGAGGAUCGUCUCCACGCUUCCCAUCAUGGUGGAGUCAUCAAAGAUGAGGAACGUCUCCUGCGCCUCAUAUCAGAUCAUCUUCCACCGUCUGGAUCAUCUGAUGGUCAGCGUCCCGGUGGAUCUGGAGUCAGUGAUUCUGAGGAGUAAAUCAGCUCUUCUUCAGAACGUGCCGCAGGGUUGUGUGAGCUCCAGCAGACAGGUGAGUGUUGAAGGUGUCCUGGGAAAUAAGACGAGUGCAUAAUUGUAUUGAUAGUGCAGUUGUAGUGUACUUCAAAUCUUUAAAAAAAAAAAAAAAAUUGUGCUUAAAGAGAGACACUUUCAUGACUAUGUUUCUCGACACACUUAAGUACACUUUUAAACUUUUAAUUUGUAAACAAACUUUAAGUACAUUUAAAAGUGCGUUUCAAAACAUUAUGGUUUAAUAAUAUUUUGUUAUGCUUCAAAGAAGUGCACUUAUUUUGAUGUGCUGACUAACAUACUAGAGCACCUUAAGUACUUGAUUAUAAUUUUUGUGUUAUUUUACCUAACUAGUAGCAACUUCAUCAUUACAAAUAUAUUUAAAUACAUGAUAUACAAUAGAAAUGACAUUAAAGUGUAUUUAGUUGACCUAGUGUAUUCAAUAGAAUUUUAAACUGUGAUGCAUUUUUAUUUAACUGGAAUUAUCCUGCAGGUAAGUGAAAAUAUUGCAUUCUCUUUGCACUUGAAUAUAUUAUUUUAAUUGUAUUAUUUGCAUAAUAAGUACUCUUUUUAAAAGUAUGCUGAUGAUUUAAGCUCAUGUGAUGCUCACGUG